CAAGCCUCUAAGCUUGCUUUCCCUUGAACUUUUCCCAAGGCUGGCUUUCCCAGACAGGAAUUACACUUGUCCUGAAAGUCGUCCCCGAGUCCCCACACUCCGUUUACCUACUGAAAAUACCGUCUGAGAGUUUGGAGGGGCUAUUGAAUGAUCUUAGGACUCCUUCAAGAAGGGUGUUUCUACUGGGAUGCAGGAUGCAGCUGAGCGUUGGCUGGGCCAGGCAGCGGUGUUUCAUGGAUCUGAACAAGUUUUACAGCGUAGCAUAAUUGCCCAGCAAGAUGAAUCAAUCAGUGGUUCAGACUUUUCAUCUCUUCCUCCCCUCGCCAUGUGCAUUACCUUCCCUGAACCUCUGGACUCUACAGGGGGACGAUUCUUCUGGAAAUGGUCCCUGGGUGCCUUGAGCAGGGCAUACUUCGCCACAGAUUCGGGAGAAGAGUGUCCUCUGGCUGGCUGCUGACCCUCUAGCACAGGCCCUGGAAUGGACACACAUGGAACACCUGAGCCCCAGCCGCAAUGAGGAGCCAAGCCCAGCUGGACUGAAGCUUGAAGCAGAGCCCUCCUUGAAUGAUUUGCCAUAUAACAGCCAAA